rnacentral:antisense_RNA from 1 species
AUGAGCGGCAGCAUCCAGACCCAGAAAGGAUCUAGUUUCAGCCUGGCACCUCCCAAGCUGCAAGGAUCCUACCCUAGCCCAGCCCAGCUCUGAGAAACAGGACUUUCCUACAGCCCACCUCAAAGCAUCUUGGUGGACUUCUCCCCAGCAUGAGCUCUCUCUACUUCAGAGAUUGCAAACUGGCAUCCUCUUUUGCCAGUAUUGGGUUUUUAAGUUUUUUGAAGUGAUCACCAGCAUUUAAAAAUCCUAUUUCACAUAAAA